GAUGGGCGGGGAAAAGCCGGGUUGUUCUCGUCUGCUGAGAAUGAUUCAUAAAGGAGCGUCAGGACAGAACUGUUCUGCCCGUGAAAGCGCACUCAAAAGACUGGACUCUUCUCCGAGGCUGGGGGACGGAGGAGAGCAAGCAGGGUCCCGGGCCUGACCCCGCCUCAGGCCGCUCGCCGAGCCUCGGCCGAGAGCUGGGCCUUGUCGGGGGCGGCGGCGAGGCACGGGUUGCUUGGGGAGCGGUGACGUCGCAGGGUGAAAGUUGAGGGGCGGUGACGUCGGGCCUGCCCGGGCGGAGGCUGGCGGGUUUGGAGACUGGAGGGAGGGAGGGAAGGAGGGAAGGAAGGAAGCUGGGAAGGAGCGAGCGAGCGGGGGCGCGAGGCGUUUACCUGGAGGCAGCGGCUCGGGAGCGCAGAGCGGCCGCGGCUCCCCCGCACCUGCGGCCAUGGAUGAGGAGCGCGCCCUCUACAUCGUCCGGGCCGGCGAGGCGGGGGCUAUCGAGCGGGUCCUGAGGGAUUACAGCGACAAGCAUAGGGCUACUUUCAAAUUUGAAUCAACAGAUGAAGAUAAGAGAAAGAAACUCUGUGAAGGCAUAUUUAAAGUCCUUGUAAAAGACGUCCCAACAACAUGUCAAGUGUCCUGCCUGGAAGUACUCCGCAUUCUCUCCAGAGACAAAAAGAUUUUAGUUCCUGUAACAACUAAGGAAAACAUGCAGAUAUUGCUGAGACUAGCCAAGCUAAAUGAGUCGGAUGAUUCUUUGGAGAAGGUGUCAGAGUUCCCAGUUAUUGUGGAAUCAUUAAAGUGUCUAUGUAACAUUGUGUUCAACAGUCAGAUGGCACAGCAGCUCAGCCUGGAACUUAAUCUUGCUGCAAAGCUCUGUAACCUCUUGAGAAAGUGCAAGGACCGAAAAUUUAUCAAUGACAUUAAGUGCUUUGACUUGCGCUUGCUCUUUCUCCUGUCACUUUUGCACACUGACAUCAGGUCACAAUUGCGCUAUGAGCUCCAGGGACUACCGCUGCUAACCCAGAUCUUGGAAAGUGCCUUUAGCAUCAAGUGGACCGAUGAGUAUGAAUCGGCCAUAGAUCAUAAUGGACCUCCUCUCUCACCUCAGGAGACAGACUGUGCCAUUGAGGCCCUCAAAGCUCUCUUCAAUGUGACAGUAGACAGUUGGAAGGUGCAUAAAGAGAGUGACUCUCAUCAGUUCCGUGUCAUGGCAGCUGUCCUUCGCCAUUGUUUACUAAUCGUAGGUCCAACUGAAGACAAAACAGAAGAGUUGCACAGCAAUGCAGUCAACCUUUUAAGCAAUGUUCCGGUCUCUUGUUUGGAUGUUCUCAUUUGUCCAUUAACCCAUGAAGAAUCAGCCCAAGAGGCAACGACUUUAGAUGAACUGCCCAGUGAUAAAACAGCUGAGAAAGAAACAGUUUUGAAAAACAAUACCAUGGUAUACAAUGGUAUGAAUAUGGAAGCCAUUCAUGUUUUACUCAAUUUUAUGGAGAAGAGAAUAGACAAGGGAAGCAGCUAUAGAGAGGGUCUAACUCCAGUUCUCAGCUUAUUAACAGAAUGUUCCCGAGCCCAUCGAAACAUCAGAAAAUUUCUCAAAGAUCAGGUUUUACCACCAUUGAGGGAUGUGACAAAUCGACCUGAAGUUGGCUCAACUGUGAGAAAUAAGCUGGUGCGCCUCAUGACACAUGUUGACCUUGGAGUCAAGCAAAUUGCUGCUGAAUUCCUUUUUGUCCUUUGCAAAGAGAGAGUGGAUAGCCUGCUGAAAUACACUGGCUAUGGGAACGCCGCAGGACUGUUGGCGGCCAGGGGCCUCUUGGCUGGAGGAAGAGGAGAUAAUUGGUACUCAGAGGACGAGGACACAGACACUGAAGAAUACAAAAAUGCAAAACCAAACAUUAAUCUUAUCACUGGUCAUUUAGAGGAACCAAUGCCAAACCCCAUAGAUGAAAUGACAGAAGAACAAAAAGAAUAUGAAGCCAUGAAACUUGUCAACAUGCUUGAUAAACUUUCCAGACCCUGUCAUUAAUUCCAUGUGUCAAUACUGCCCUGUAGUACACAGAGCAGACAAGAAAGAAGAGCCCUUGAAAACAAGGGAAUGAUUUUUGAGUCGUUAUCAAGCUAAGUGGCAAGCGGGAAGCUGAAACUCGUAUAGUUGAACAUUCUUGGAGGCUUAUCUCUUCCCUGGCCAGAUGCCUGAUCAGAUGAGAAGCCCGCCAUGAUACUGUCACAGUGCCUAGAAUGGGCUCUUUAUCCAGUAGACAUCACUGUACUUUUUGAUGAUAACGAGGGCAGUCUUAACCUAUGUUAAGGCCUGUGUAUAGCAUUGAAGAGAGGAGUUGCUUAAACCAAUGGGACUAAAACCUGAUGGGACAAUAACGCCUUUGGAGGAAGCACUCAACCAGUACUCUGUCCUGGAGGAGACCAGCUCUGACACAGACUGAAAGCGUCACCUGCUCAGCUCUCAGUAUUGCUUUUAUCAGCAUCUUUUCUCUGUAGCUCCAGGGGAAUCUUUUCUCUAAAACAUUUAUGCCCUUGCUUUGGCUAGAAACACAUUAACUGGUUUACUCAUUGAGAAUCCAGCAUAUUUAAGAGGUGAUCCUGUGUUUUUGCGAUAUUGAGGCAUUCAUACAGAGCUGUAGUUAGGCAGAGUUACAGGGACUAGAAGCAGAAAAACAGUAAUUCCAUUUCAUCAGAUGGAACGAAGGACUUCAUUCUGUAAAGCAGCCCUGGCCAAAUCUGGCAGUUCUGUUUGCCAAGAUUCUUAACAGAAGAUUUAGCCAGGUCCUUCCUCACUUGUGUGAGCGGCCCCUUCUGAGUCUCCAGCAGCCAGAGGCGCAUGAGAGCAGAAUGAGCUAGUAAGUAAGGACGGAGGCAAGUGACUCCUUAGAUCAGUACUGACUAAAUGGAAGCCAGGCAGCUGCUCUGUAAAUCUAGCCCCACUCUUCAUUUCAGUUUUAUAUAAAUACAGAAGCACACACACAAACACACACAGAGCCCCCAGACUUACAAACUGGCUACACUAGAAGUUUGUAUGUCACUUAACUAAAACUUCAGCAUACAUUUCUCCCUGUAGGGAGUUAUGAAUGAUGGUUUAGUUUCCAGGCAGCUACAGAUGCCUGUUUAUUCCCUAAUGUACCUGAACACUAGUACUGCAGAAUAGAACCGGCCUAUAUACCAUGGCGUGGAGAGCGUGCAUUCUGAGGUCUGACUCGGGGUGCUGGCAACAUCUAUACCCUCCAUCCCAGCCAGGGCGGGGUCACUCCCUGACUAACAGGAGCUGUUCUGUGGCCUCUUCUGGUAGGAGAGUCAGAGGCAGCCAUCUGUACAUAAAGGUCAUUCAUACAUCAUGUUUUAAACUGGGGUCAGUGUGUAUGCUUGUGUGUGUGUAUUCUACCUUUCUACCAUAUUGAUCAGCUUAAUGGUAACUUUAUUUAUUUAAAAAAAAGGAAAGAAACACAAAUAGUUACCAUUAAACUGAUUAAGGCUGUUUAUUUUUACCAUUAGAAUUGGUCAUAUGAAGAUGUAGAGACGCCGUCAUGCCGUCGUAGACAGCGGGCCCAGCUAAUCAGUGGAUAAAGUUGGAAAGGGAUUGGUUUCCUUUGAUAUGUAUGUAUGUAUGUAUGUAUGUGGUGUGUGUAUGCACAUGCAUAUGUACAUAUGUAUACACACACAUAGAUAAUGUGCUUAACCACUGCCUUUUAAAACUUUAAAUUAAAUAAAACAUUGGGGUUGAUUCAAUUUAGCCAUCUGUG